rnacentral:rRNA from 1 species
CGGGCAACCUGCCCUCAGCUCUGGGAUAACUCCAAGAAAUUGGGGCUAAUACCGGAUAUGACUGCUGACCGCAUGGUCUGGUGGUGGAAAGAUUUAUCGGCUGGGGAUGGGCCCGCGGCCUAUCAGCUUGUUGGUGGGGUAGUGGCCUACCUAGGCGACGACGGGUAGCCGGCCUGAGAGGGUGACCGGCCACACUGGGACUGAGACACGGCCCAGACUCCUACGGGAG